AACGCCGGUGAUAUCUCUCUCUGGCGCGCGCACACGCACAUUAGCCGCUGCCGCCGAGGACGACGACGAGCUCCCCAGCCCCACGCCUAUUCGCUUUCCAGCAGGCACCUUUUCCGUGCACGGCAGACGGUCUGCAUACCUGUACACCGAGAGAAACGUAACGUACACUCAUCAUCCCCCUCCCACCUCACUGCACGGGGCGCCUCGGGUGUGACUUGGCGCCUCUUUCUCGGCUUCCUUGCGCUGCCCAUUCCAUCUGGCUUGCACGCUACCUUUCACAUGCAUUCGCGUUCGUCUCCGCAGGCUCUCCCGGCGCUGUGUCGGCAGCAGCAGCCGUCCUUGGGACGUUCGUACAUGCCCCCGGCCUCCCUGGCAAAAAGUACACAGGACAAGACGGAACCGCGAACGGAGGAGAAGACCAGACUCGGCGGCAGCUCUCCGCACGCGGCUGCUGCCGCUUCGCGGGGGAUGUACGGUCAGCCGUGGAACACGCCAACGGCAUUGCACUCCCUCGUUGAAUCCGUGACGCGCGAGUCCAAUGAGCCGGCCGCAGCUCGGGCCGGCACUAGCAGAAGUACAGCACCUCGUCCAGCCGAGUCUCGGUCGCUGCCGCUGCCGCUGCCAUGCUCCACCACGGCCGCACAUGAGAAUUCGACCUACGCCGGACGAGUGGUAUCUACGGUUGCAACGGCAGCGGCUGCGCCUUCUUCGCUACUCACAAGCACCGGCACACCAGCUCCGCUAUCGGAGUCCACGGGUACCACGGCCGCCGUGCGGGCCGAGCGCUUGCGUGAGCUCGAGGACUUCCUCCAGCAGCGCGGUGGACGAGGCACGUCACUGGAGGGCCGGCACAAGGUCAUUCAGAAGGCGCUCUCCCUCCUGCCUGCCGUGUAUCCGCUCCUCGCCAAGGUGGCGGAGUCGAUGCAGCGCUACACCGAGGACGUGACCGCGUCGCUGCGCCGCGCCGCCACGGAGAAGGCAGAAGCGCUGCGGCAGCAGGAGAGAGAGCUGUACGAGCAGUUCGAGACAUUUUUCGAAGGGAAGAUACGCGAGCUCAUGCUGGCGAGGAAGCAGGCAGAGGAGGAGGCAAAGGCGGAGCACGCUGCCGCCUUUGCCCUGCGUCAGGAGCGCGAUGCGGAGCUGAUGGCGGUGAAGGAGCAGCUGGUGCAGCGCAUGAACACUUGCGAGAAGACGGAGGAUCAGUUCCGCGACUUCCGUCACCUGAUCGCGUCUGUGUUCAAUACCAAUCAGCAGCUGAACCUCCGCAUUGAGCAGCUGGAGGAGGUGCUAGCGCGCCACCGCAUCGAUCUCCCCCCCGCCAGCGAGGAGAUGAUGGCGUUCCAGACGUCGUUGGACGGGCAGCGGCCUUUUGUGCCACAGGCCUCGACCGUCGACGGCGACGGCGCCGAUGACAGCAGCAGCGGCGGCGGUGGGGUGCGUGGCGGUCGCAACAAGUCGCACAAGCUGCCGGUGCAGUUCAUGGCCGCUGCCAAGCAGGAGCUGGUGAACUCACGCCUGACGCUGCAGGAGGAACUACUGCACUCGGCCUUCGACGACCACUCCGCCUAUCGCAUGCGCAUUAACGGACUCAAGCAGCAGAAUCUGGACCUCAGCUUCACCGUUUCAGAGCUGGAAGAGCAGGUGAGGGACUUGUACACGUACAUCCACGAGAAGCGAUUUGUGCGGCAGGUGGAUGAGCAGGGCAACGAGAUUGCCGUGAUGACGCCGCGACCGCGCGGGGUGCCGCUGGCUUUGCAAACGGAGCUCGGCAUCGAUCUUCGCCACUCCACCGCCAACAUCCUGUCCGAGCUCUCUACCUUGUCGAUCAACAUGAAGCACCAGCUCAACUCGGCCCUCCUGCGUGCGCGUCAGCUGCACACGCUGUCAGCGUGGCUCGACGAAGGGAACGAGACCGCUGCCAGCGGUGGCGGGGUCGGCGGCAUGCUGGAGCGGGUCUCGGAGGCGGCCGCCAUUCCGGUGUUCCCCGUUUCCGCGUGGCCGUCGAUUCCGCACUUUCUGCGCACUUUCAUCACCCCCGACGUGCCGAACUACUUCUGGACGGAGGCCCAAGCGGCGUGCAUCCUUUACAACUUCUUCAAAAGCUACAAGGCGAUCCGUCGACGCGCACGUUUUGUGCGGGAUAACAAGAUGCUCGCCCCACGCGUCUACCAGCUCUUUGAGCACCGUGAGGUGCUGCUGGCGCGACUGGACGCAGGAAAGGAGGAUGUGGCGGCGGCGGAGGAAAACACGCCAUUCGGCUACGUGGUCACACAGUUCGCCCGUGAGGUGCUUGCGAACCUGUCCCCGCAGAACGCGCAGCCGCAUCUGCCGCUCGUGUUGCCGGGCACCGUCGCGCUUCGCUUCCCCAAAACAAGCAGCACACCGUCGCAGAGCAAAUCGUUCCAAAGCGGCGACGGCGUGGGUGACGGCAUGCACGGCCCCGGAUCGCAGCGGACCCCGAUAGCCGACGAGCGACUGACGGUGAAGGACUGCCCGUGGAAGGAGGCCGCCCCGAUCGUGGAGUUCGAGCUGGCGCGUUUUACGUACAACCUGUGGUACGCGGCGGUGCGCUACCAACCGUCGCAGCCGCUCUGCGAGCUGUUCCUCAAGUUGGUCGAUGGCCAAGUGCCCAUCGAGACGUUUGAUUUAAUGGAGACGGUGCUGGGCCGACUGCGGCGGCGCAUCGAGGGGCUGGACAGCGAGGGCACUCGCCGAUUUGCGUACUCGCGGCUGGUGAAGGCGGUAGUGCGAUCUGUAUCCGACAUGGACGCCAAAGUCGGGCUGCGCGCCGUCCAGGCGGUGGCACAGACCUUCGAGGCGAACCACACGCCGCUGUACGGUGGCACCCUCGGCUCGGUGGCUCUCUUCGCUGAUGAGACGUACUGCAUGCGAGAAUCGCUCACCGCCUCGUUAGAGAAAGGCACGAUGCGGGCCGUGGCCAGCUGCACAGCCGACAACACGGCUGCGGGUGUGGCAGCGGCGGAGAAGCAGACGAUACGGACGCCGCUUCCGUCGUCCUUGAUCACCCACGAGGUGCUACUGCCGACGUCGUUCACAGCUUCCUCGCCACCGUCGAUGCUUCCUCCCAUAGGGGCCACGUGCAUCAUACGCUUCUGCCGCCACCUUGUCCACGACACACUCGAAGGCCUCUACACUCGCAUCGAAGCCGCGCUGUGCCCGCUGGUGGAGGAAAGCGAGGUGGUGCUUGGCCUCUACCUGCUUCCUCUUCCUCGCGCAAAGGCUGCGCUGGCUGCGCUGGACGAAGUGACGCGUGAAGAGGGCAUUCACGCUGCCCUCCUCGGAUCGACGGGGACGGGCGACGGCAACUCUCUUGCGCGCGUCACGAUUGGUCGCAUCUCUGCGGCGGCCCUUGCAGGGACGCAGCUCAGGCCCGAGGCGGCAGAUUUGCUUGGCGUACGAGGCUUGACGAGCGACUACAUGAUCCUGCUAGAGUCGCGCAAGAAUGUGCUGAAGGACAAGCGGACGGAGGACCGGCACGUCGUGACACGCAUGGUGGACAAGGCGGUGCAGGGGCUGCCGCACUUCAAGACGUCUACCCACUUUCCCUUCCGCGGCAAAAACGCCGCGUGGCUCGGCGAGUCCGGGGGGCUGGAUGACGGCGAUGAGGAGCCGAGGGCAGACUCGCCGCACGAGGCUGACGCGACUCUCAGCAACGCCGCUUCCGCUACCGGCCGUAUGGGUGGCCUCUCCAAAAACAGUGCCAAGAAGAGUGGGAGGCGGACGGCCACGCAAGAGAAGGUGGCAACGCGCCGCAGCGUGCAACCCCCUGUGCAGGGCGGCAGCGAGAACUCCAAAACCAAGGCGCGAAGAUCCCCGCAGGUCAAGCACAGCAACAAGGGGAAACGUGGCCAGGCAAGCUCACUCUCGUUCGAAGGAGGCCGCCUUGGCUCAGCGGAGAGCGAUGAUGCCCUAUGGAGCGGCACUGCCAAGGCGCUGCUGGCGGCGUCGGAGGAAGGCAACCUGGUAGAGUGGUACAGCCUCCGGCACGCGCUGCGUCGCGCCUUGCCGACCCUUCCAUGGCAAAUCUUCCAACCGGACGGGCGGGAGCAGGAAACAACGACGGCCGCGUCAGUUGCCCCGACGCUGCCGCUGCUGGCAGCGUAUGAAGAGGAGGCACCACACUAGCGCUUCCUCCUCGGCCAUUUUCAAGGUCGUUUCUCGUUUUGAUGGCGCCUCAUUUUCAUCGGGCAUGCGCAUGCGCGUGCGUGUGACGUUGCAUGCGAGCAUAACCAUGCACAACUCCAGGCAGGCGAGCGCGUUGCCUUGGCACACGAUGUAUAACUCAUCGCCGUGCGUUGGAACUUCCACGGCGUUCAUGUGCCUGCCACCUCGUUUCUCUGCCGGGCUUAGGUUGAUUUUGCCGAGUGCUGCUCUUCUGCCUUCAUGACGAGGAGCGGCCACACCGCAGAGCGAGGUAUCUCAGGACCCAGCGCACUACCUAGCGCGUUGAUGAGCACAGACUCAGCCGCGCGUACUUGCGCCAUCACGCGAAGGCAAUCAUCACUCCGCAGUUGAGAUGCUAGACUUGGAGCGAUGCCUUCUGAAGACGACAAGCGAACUAUAUGUGAAUAUAUGCUUGUGGACGCUACUGUGCACCCGUGGUCUCUCCAUAGUCAUGUGGGCACUGAUGCUGGGUCGCUAUGCAUGGCAAUGUGUAAAGUGGUGCGUUCCUCUUGCAUCGGCCCCUCCCCCCUCCCAUGCCACACCUCUCUCCUCUUGGCUUGCCAGCCAACCGGGUGGCGUGCGGCGGCGUCGGACAACGUUCGCCAGGAACACGACCCACCCCUCUUGUCAACACGCAGGCCUUUGCUUUCUGUGUGUGUGUGUGUGUGCGUGGCGUCUCUGUGUAUCCUUCCCUCUCAUGACGCUGUACUUGAUUCCAGAUGCUUGCGCCCUGUUCACGUCGCUCUCUGCUUCUUCUUUUUGCUGCUGCUACUCUCAUACUUUGCCAAUGAUCCGCGGCAACCCAUCGGCUCGCUGUGCGGCCUACGCACACACACACACACACACACAAACCGACGACGACGACACAUCGAACUCCUCCACCAAAACUCCUCUAAACACUCCAACUGACUGUUUUUGCCUCUACGUUCUCGUUGGCCAUGCUGCUAG
rnacentral:misc_RNA from 1 species